CCCAGAGGAGAAACUUACAGAACCUCACCGUCAGCUGCCCAUUUAAAGCAGGGGGUGUGUGAUGGGAGGGGGUGGGAAGCUGCAGCAAACAGGGCCAGGACGUUGGGGAGCCGGAGAGACGGGAGUAACCUGUGUACACAGCCUUUCCAUAUACUAUGUCCUGGUGAGACUGCUAGUAAACGACAGCCUCAGACAAGAGGAACAGCAGCUCGUCAAGUCCUGCUCCGAGAAGGUCCAGAAACCCCAGAUGUCCCAUCGCCUUCUCCCCUCCUCUGCUGAGAGCUGCAGAUCAGUUCACGUUGACAGAUUGAAGGGUCAGUGUGCAAACGUUCACGGUUUCAUCGGUGCAGAAAAGGAGCUCUGGCAACUUCUGCUGAGACUUUUCCAUAGGAAAUCCUUCCAAAAAAAAAUGCAACAGCUAUUUUGAAGACCAACUUUCCAAAAAUUAUAUUCAGCUUGAGGAAGGUGAGCAUGGUGAACUUGGAUGCCAUAUUUGAAAGUGCUGGAGCCACAAAAUGGAAGAAGGCCAGACCCCUGCAUGUUACUUGGAGAAGAGUCAGGAACCAAUCAAGACGUUCUCUGUUAGCCUUUAAGUGAACAAGAGAUGAACUUCCACUA